rnacentral:rRNA from 1 species
GAUGAACGCUGGCGGCGUGCCUAAUACAUGCAAGUCGAGCGAACGGACGAGAAGCUUGCUUCUCUGAUGUUAGCGGCGGACGGGUGAGUAACACGUGGAUAACCUACCUAUAAGACUGGGAUAACUUCGGGAAACCGGAGCUAAUACCGGAUAAUAUUUUGAACCGCAUGGUUCAAAAGUGAAAGACGGUCUUGCUGUCACUUAUAGAUGGAUCCGCGCUGCAUUAGCUAGUUGGUAAGGUAACGGCUUACCAAGGCAACGAUGCAUAGCCGACCUGAGAGGGUGAUCGGCCACACUGGAACUGAGACACGGUCCAGACUCCUACGGGAGGCAGCAGUAGGGAAUCUUCCGCAAUGGGCGAAAGCCUGACGGAGCAACGCCGCGUGAGUGAUGGAGGUCUUCGGAUCGUAAAACUCUGUUAUUAGGGAAGAACAUAUGUGUAAGUAACUGUGCACAUCUUGACGGUACCUAAUCAGAAAGCCACGGCUAACUACGUGCCAGCAGCCGCGGUAAUACGUAGGCGGCAAGCGUUAUCCGGAAUUAUUGGGCGUAAAGCGCGCGUAGGCGGUUUUUUAAGUCUGAUGUGAAAGCCCACGGCUCAACCGUGGAGGGUCAUUGGAAACUGGAAAACUUGAGUGCAGAAGAGGAAAGUGGAAUUCCAUGUGUAGCGGUGAAAUGCGCAGAGAUAUGGAGGAACACCAGUGGCGAAGGCGACUUUCUGGUCUGUAACUGACGCUGAUGUGCGAAAGCGUGGGGAUCAAACAGGAUUAGAUACCCUGGUAGUCCACGCCGUAAUCGAUGAGUGCUAAGUGUUAGGGGGUUUCCGCCCCUUAGUGCUGCAGCUAACGCAUUAAGCACUCCGCCUGGGGAGUACGACCGCAAGGUUGAAACUCAAAGGAAUUGACGGGGACCCGCACAAGCGGUGGAGCAUGUGGUUUAAUUCGAAGCAACGCGAAGAACCUUACCAAAUCUUGACAUCCUUUGACAACUCUAGAGAUAGAGCCUUCCCCUUCGGGGGACAAAGUGACAGGUGGUGCAUGGUUGUCGUCAGCUCGUGUCGUGAGAUGUUGGGUUAAGUCCCGCAACGAGCGCAACCCUUAAGCUUAGUUGCCAUCAUUAAGUUGGGCACUCUAAGUUGACUGCCGGUGACAAACCGGAGGAAGGUGGGGAUGACGUCAAAUCAUCAUGCCCCUUAUGAUUUGGGCUACACACGUGCUACAAUGGACAAUACAAAGGGCAGCGAAACCGCGAGGUCAAGCAAAUCCCAUAAAGUUGUUCUCAGUUCGGAUUGUAGUCUGCAACUCGACUACAUGAAGCUGGAAUCGCUAGUAAUCGUAGAUCAGCAUGCUACGGUGAAUACGUUCCCGGGUCU